rnacentral:tRNA from 1 species
GGAAGUGUAUCGAAGUGGUCAUAACGAGCCGCACUCGAAAUGCGGUGAUCCGCAAGGGUCCGUGGGUUCGAAUCCCACCGCUUCCG